GUCGAGAAUAAUUCACAAUGGGGGAAACCCUGAUGGUGCAACGCCGCGUGGAGGAUGAAGGUCUUCGGAUUGUAAACUCCUGUCAUCCGAGAGUAAGACCUGGCGGUAAAUAGCCGACAGGGUUGAUAGUAUCGGAAGAGGAAGGGACGGCUAACUUCGUGCCAGCAGCCGCGGUAAUACGAAGGUCCCAAGCGUUGUUCGGAAUCACUGGGCGUAAAGGGAGCGUAGGCGGCAUGGUAAGUCAGGUGUGAAAUCCCGGGGCUCAACCCCGGAACUGCACCCGAUACUGCGAUGCUAGAGGGUUGGAGAGGUGACUGGAAUUCUCGGUGUAGCAGUGAAAUGCGUGGAUAUCGAGAGGAACACUCGUGGCGAAGGCGAGUCACUGGACAACAUCUGACGCUGAGGCUCGAAGGCUAGGGGAGCAAAAGGGAUUAGAUACCCUAGUAGUCC
rnacentral:rRNA from 1 species